rnacentral:rRNA from 1 species
UACGUAGGGGGCAAGCGUUGUCCGGAAUCAUUGGGCGUAAAGCGCGUGUAGGCGGUUCGGUAAGUCUGCUGUGAAAGUCCAGGGCUCAACCCUGGGAUGCCGGUGGAUACUGUCGGGCUAGAGUGCGGAAGAGGCGAGUGGAAUUCCCGGUGUAGCGGUGAAAUGCGCAGAUAUCGGGAGGAACACCAAUUGCGAAGGCAGCUCGCUGGGACGUCACUGACGCUGAGACGCGAAAGCGUGGGGAGCGAACAGG